rnacentral:rRNA from 1 species
UACGGAGGGAGCUAGCGUUGUUCGGAAUUACUGGGCGUAAAGCGCACGUAGGCGGCUUUGUAAGUUAGAGGUGAAAGCCCGGGGCUCAACCCCGGAAUUGCCUUUAAGACUGCAUCGCUUGAAUCCGGGAGAGGUGAGUGGAAUUCCGAGUGUAGAGGUGAAAUUCGUAGAUAUUCGGAAGAACACCAGCGGCGAAGGCGGCUCACUGGACCGGUAUUGACGCUGAGGUGCGAAAGCGUGGGGAGCAAACAGG